GAAAUGCGAUAAGUAGUGUGAAUUGCAGAAUUCAGUGAAUCAUCGAAUCUUUGAACGCACAUUGCGCCCCAUGGUAUUCCAUGGGGCAUGCCUGUUCGAGCGUCAUUUGUACUCUCAAGCUUUGCUUGGUGUUGGGUGCUUGUCCUCUGCGGACUCACCUCAAAUCUAUUGGCAGCCAAUGUAUUGGCCUUGAAGCGCAGCACAUUUUGCGCAGCAAGGUUAUCAUCAUUUGCGUCCAUAAAGUACUUUUUAACACUUUUGACCUCGGAUCAGGUAGGGAUACCCGCUGAACUUAA
rnacentral:misc_RNA from 1 species